rnacentral:misc_RNA from 1 species
AACGCACAUUGCGCCCGCCAGUAUUCUGGCGGGCAUGCCUGUUCGAGCGUCAUUUCAACCAUCAAGCCCCAGGCUUGUGUUGGAGCCCUGCGGCUGCCGCAGCCUCCCAAAACCAGUGGCGGGCUCGCUAUCACACCGAGUGCAGUAGUUUACUCUUCGCUCAGGGCGUGUGGCGGGUGCUGGCCGUGAAACCCCCUACUUCUCAAGGUUGACCUCGGAUCAGGUAGGAAUACCCGCUGAACUUAA